GACAGAGGAGCCAAGCGUUGUCCGGAUUGACUGGGCGUAAAGCGCACGCAGGCGGUCGUGCACGUGGGGUGUGAAAACUGGCGGCUCAACUGCCAGAGGCCACCUCAUACGGCGCGACUCGAGCCCGUGAGGGGUCCAUGGAAUUGCCGGUGUAGUGGUGAAAUGCGUAGAGAUCGGCAGGAACACCCAGGGAGAAAUCAGUGGACUGGCACGGUGCUGACGCUCAGGUGCGAAAGCGUGGGGAGCGAACCGG
rnacentral:rRNA from 1 species